rnacentral:rRNA from 1 species
UACGGAGGAUGCAAGCGUUAUCCGGAUUCAUUGGGUUUAAAGGGUGCGUAGGCGGGCUAUUAAGUCAGUGGUGAAAUCCUGCAGCUUAACUGCAGAACUGCCGUUGAUACUGAUAGUCUUGAGUUUGGUAGGGGAAGGCGGAAUUCCAAGUGUAGCGGUGGAAUGCGCAGAUAUUUGGAAGAACACCGGUGGCGAAGGCGGCCUUCUGGGCCACGACUGACGCUGAGGCGCGAAAGCUAGGGGAGCGAACAGGAUUAGAUACCCCUGUA